rnacentral:rRNA from 1 species
GACGAGCGCUGGCGGCGUGCUUAACACAUGCAAGUCGAACGGAAGGCCCUGCUUUUGUGGGGUGCUCGAGUGGCGAACGGGUGAGUAACACGUGAGUAACCUGCCCUUGACUUUGGGAUAACUUCAGGAAACUGGGGCUAAUACCGGAUAGGAGCUCCUGCUGCAUGGUGGGGGUUGGAAAGUUUCGGCGGUUGGGGAUGGACUCGCGGCUUAUCAGCUUGUUGGUGGGGUAGUGGCUUACCAAGGCUUUGACGGGUAGCCGGCCUGAGAGGGUGACCGGCCACAUUGGGACUGAGAUACGGCCCAGACUCCUACGGGAGGCAGCAGUGGGGAAUAUUGCACAAUGGGCGGAAGCCUGAUGCAGCAACGCCGCGUGCGGGAUGACGGCCUUCGGGUUGUAAACCGCUUUCGCCUGUGACGAAGCGUGAGUGACGGUAAUGGGUAAAGAAGCACCGGCUAACUACGUG